ACUCCUACGGGAGGCAGGCAGGUGGGGAAGUAUUGCACAAUGGGCGCAAGCCUGAUGCAGCCAUGCCGCGUGUGUGAAGAAGGCCUUCGGGUUGUAAAGCACUUUCAGCGAGGAGGAAGGUGGUGAGCCUUAAUACGCUCAUCAAUUGACGUUACUCGCAGAAGAAGCACCGGCUAACUCCGUGCCAGCAGCCGCGGUAAUACGGAGGGUGCAAGCGUUAAUCGGAAUUACUGGGCGUAAAGCGCACGCAGGCGGUUUGUUAAG
rnacentral:rRNA from 1 species